UCCCUGGUGGUCCAGUGGUUAAGACUCUGCACUUCCAUUGGAGAGGCCCCAGGUUCAAGCCCUGGUUGGGGAA
rfam:TPA: Bos taurus chromosome 2, whole genome shotgun sequence.